rnacentral:lncRNA from 1 species
AUGAAUGACCUGGAAGUGAAAGAACAGAAGAGCUAUGAAAGACGUAUGGGUUUCCCACCCCAGACGCUGCAGACCGGCCUGCAAAGGGGAAAGUGGAAUGUGCGUGUUUCCCUGCCCGCCAGUCAUCUCCAAGGCAACAGCCAGGACUUCCACUCACCUGCAGACCCACACAGCCCACCUCACCGCUCCACAGGGAACCGCAAAGGGAACUUUGCCAGAACAAGUGCCAUGCCAGCAGCUUUGC